GAUAAAAGGUGGCAGGCAUUGAGCUAUCGGGGGUAUCUACCUGUAAUCACACCAAGUAUAAUAGUAAAUGGCUAACUUUUUUUUGGAGCUAAGUGCCAAAUUCUAAGCAUUCUAUGUACAUCACCUUAUGGAGAUUCUUUGGUGUUUUGUUUGUUUUUGUUUUAGCUUUUCUUUUUAGUGCCAAGGAUCCAACCCAGGGCCUUGCGCAUGGUAGGCCAGUGCUCUACCACUGAGUGACAUCCCUGCCUGCCCUCUUAAGUGUUCUUCAUGGAUAUCAUGGCAGUUACAUGCCCGUUUUUAGGGAUGCUGGGGAAAGAAGCACUAGGAGGUUUAGUAAUCUUUCCAAAGUAACAAGUUAAAUGGUAGAAUAGGCUGUCAGUCGGGGUUUGUUUCCAAAGUGCAAUUUCCUAAUCAUGGCUUCAAACCCAGCCUAGAGCGGCUUAUCGGUGCGGCACUGUCGGAUCUUGCAGCCUGUGACCUCAGAAGCUCAGGAAAAUGGGGAUCGCAGUUGCAGUCAAGGAGAAGCUUCCCUAAGCCAUGCAUGGGAAUCCAUCCCUGGGCCUCAGGCAUAAAUGGCAAGUGCUCUACCCAUUGAGCUACAAACUCAGCCCUUCCUAAGCAACUUUGGAAAUUAAUGGAUUUUGUAAGGCUAAAGGGAAAAGAUCUACAUGGUUUUGCAGAAUCCUCUGCAUCCAGAAGGAGAAACAGGGGAGGAGAGAAUGGAGAAGGUACACCUGCUUCUUAAAUGUCUCUAAAGUGACAGUGGAGAAAUGCAGUCCCUGCUUGAUCAGCCACUCCCCAGCAACACCUCUAAGCUAAGGAAACCAGAGCCAGAAUCCUGCCAGACUCUAGAACCCAUUAAUGAAUUGAAAUGGUGACUGUGACAAAGCUCUCCCUCACUCCCAUUUCUGUUCCUUUUCGUCUCUGGAGAAGUGGAGUGAUGAAAUCAGGUAAAGGGUGACAGUUUGCUCACCAAGUAGAAGCGAGCUAAAGGCUACUGCAGUGUAGGUGAGUAUGUGGACUCAGAGCCAGGCUGCUUGAGUUCAAAUCCUAGCUCUGCCAUUUACUAGAUAAGAGACUUUGAGCAAGUUACUUGACUGCUCCAAGCCUCAGUUUCCCUGUUUCUAAAAUGAAGAUGAUGCUAAUGAUAAAAGAGUUGUUCUGAAGAUAAAUUCUUGUAAGACAGAUUUGUCUGGCGUGUAUAACUACCCAGGAAUUGUUGGGAACUCUUGUGAAGAAUGGAGCCAGAUUCUGCAAAAGCCACUCCCUGCCUGUAUAAACACUGUCUCUGCUAUUUUCUCACCUUUUUCUCCAGUGCUGGGGAUUGAACCCAGGACCUCACACAUUCUGGGCAAACCUGUUACCACUGAGCUAACUCCUGAACCUCCCCUAUGAAUUUCUGUGCUCUCCUGUCUAAGAGACAUAAAAAUAAGGUGGUUUCCCCUCUUUAAAUUGAUAAAGUUAUAAGGUAGAAAUUCCUUCAAUUUUAGACUUUUUUUUUAAUAACCCCUAUCCAAGCAAGGUGGAUCUUUGCAAAGCCUAAACCAAAUAAUCCCCUCUGUGAACAAAGGUAGGUCCACACUGAGGCACCGCUCUGCCAGCUGACUUGAAGCACCAUUUCCCUGCGAGGCGAGUGAAGGUGAGAUGGAGCGAUUUUCGUGGUUUUGAAAGACUGAGCAGUGAGGAAAGGGGUCUGGCUAAGUGAGUUUCUCCGCAGUACUCUCUAAUCUUGCUACCA